rnacentral:rRNA from 1 species
UACGGAGGGGGCUAGCGUUGUUCGGAAUUACUGGGCGUAAAGCGCGCGUAGGCGGACCUGCAAGUCGGGGGGUGAAAGCCCGAGGCUCAACCUCGGAACUGCCCUUCGAUACUGCGGGUCUCGAGCCGGGGAGAGGUGAGUGGAAUUCCUGGUGUAGCGGUGAAAUGCGCAGAUAAUCGGGAGGAACACCGGUGGCGAAGGCGGGCCUAGCUGGAC